UCUUUCAUAGUCAGAGCCUGC
ensembl:piRNA 21ur-9875 ncRNA